rnacentral:tRNA from 1 species
AUCCCUGUGGCUCAGUUGGUAGAGCAUGGUGUUUGCAACGCCAGCAUGGUGUGUGCAACACCAGGGUUGUGGGUUUGAUUCCCACGGGGGGCC